rnacentral:rRNA from 1 species
GAUGAACGCUGGCGGCGUGCCUAAUACAUGCAAGUCGAGCGAACGGACGAGAAGCUUGCUUCUCUGAUGUUAGCGGCGGACGGGUGAGUAACACGUGGAUAACCUACCUAUAAGACUGGGAUAACUUCGGGAAACCGGAGCUAAUACCGGAUGAUAGUUUUAACCGCAUGGUUCAAAAGUGAAAGACGGUCUUGCUGUCACUUAUAGAUGUAUCCGCGCUGCAUUAGCUAGUUGGUAAGGUAACGGCUUACCAAGGCAACGAUGCAUAGCCGACCUGAGAGGGUGAUCGGCCACACUGGAACUGAGACACGGUCCAGACUCCUACGGGAGGCAGCAGUAGGGAAUCUUCCGCAAUGGGCGAAAGCCUGACGGAGCAACGCCGCGUGAGUGAUGAAGGUCUUCGGAUCGUAAAACUCUGUUAUUAGGGAAGAACAUAUGUGUAAGUAACUGUGCACAUCUUGACGGUACCUAAUCAGAAAGCCACGGCUAACUACGUG